rnacentral:tRNA from 1 species
UUUAGCUCAGUUGGUAGAGCGCUCGGCUGUUAACCGAUAGGUCGUUGGUUCGAGUCCAAC